AGAAAGAGAUGAGAUGCUGGUGAGAGAGAACGAGGCAGGAAAAGGAGAGAAGGAAUACUAAAUAUAUUUUUCCAUUUAUGUGAUGAAUGUGUUCACAGUACACAAACCAUAGUGUGUGUGGUAGUAAAGAGGAGCAGCACUAGAGGCAUUUUCCAUAGACUGAAGGCAAGAAGGUGGAGGAGGGGUGCUUUUAAGUAAAGACAGCUAAGGUGAAUCCUGAACCGCCAGAAGUAGACAACCAAGUGAAAGAAGGGGAAAGCGUUCCAGACAGAGGUGGGGGAGAAUCUGCAAAGGCACUGAGACCCAAGAAGUCACUGGUUCCUCGGGAGUACAUGUGUUCAAUAAGACUGAAAUCUAUGGUAUAUGGUGAAGGAACUGGGAAAAAACGUGGCCCUGGAGAUAUAAAGAGCUAUGACACGUAAAGAGCUUGAAAGUCUAAACUCCCAUCCUUAAAGCAAGAAAAAGCUGAACAAACUGAAAAGAAAUAAUUUUCUUGGACUCACCAGAGAAUUGUCACUGGGCAAAACCUACUCCAAAAUCUGGGUAAUAGGCAAAUACAGAGAAUCACGGCUGAGAUCAGUUUAGCUGGAGUAGAAGACACUGGAGCCACAAACUGGAUGGGCCCUAAAUCCAAUGACCAGUGCCCCUACGAGGAGAGGGAGAUUUGAAGACACAAAAGAAACAGGGAAGA
rnacentral:lncRNA from 1 species